CUAAAGUGGAAGUAUAAUAGGAAGUCCUAUUCUACCAUUCCCGGAAGGAGAAAAGCUAGAAACAUCUGGGAAUCAGCACCAAUCACAGACGUAUUAUAAGAGGACUGUGCUAGACACUCUUAGUGAUGCAGAGAUAAAGAAAACCUUGUGACCGUGCAGUGAUGAUAGAUGAUUCCAGAUUUUGCCACACAGUGUCAACUGGUUUCUCUCCUUCACGGAAAAAAAAAAAGGCAUAUGGAUGAAGGUGAAAAUAAAGGAGGACACAGCAAGAAAGGAACUGUCUACAAGCCAUGGAGAGAGCUCUCAGCAGAACCCGACAGUGCUGACACCUUAGAUCUUUGUUAAUGAAUGCAUUAACAUUCAUUAAAAUCCAUUAAUCUUGGAUCUCUAGCCUCUGGGAUUGUGAGAAAAUACAUUUCUGUUGUUUAAGCCACUCAGUAUACAGUAUUUUGUCAUGGCAGCCCAAGAGGCCUGAAACAAUUGUCAAACAUUUUGUUACGAGGGAGAGCUGAUAGGAACUACAGGAGAGAAGUUCUCUGUUUCUUUUUUUUUUUUUUUUAAUUUCCCUUACCUUGUUCUUAUGCCUAGCCCAUGUCCAUUUAUAUUAAAUAAACUGUACUAACUGC